rnacentral:rRNA from 1 species
AUUGAACGCUGGCGGAAUGCUUUACACAUGCAAGUCGAACGGCAGCACGGGGGCAACCCUGGUGGCGAGUGGCGAACGGGUGAGUAAUACAUCGGAACGUGCCCAGUCGUGGGGGAUAACGUAGCGAAAGUUACGCUAGUACCGCAUACGAUCUACGGAUGAAAGCGGGGGACCGUAAGGCCUCGCGCGAUUGGAGCGGCCGAUGUCAGAUUAGGUAGUUGGUGAGGUAAAGGCUCACCAAGCCGACGAUCUGUAGCUGGUCUGAGAGGACGACCGGCCACACUGGGACUGAGACACGGCCCAGACUCCUACGGGAGGCAGCAGUGGGGAAUUUUGGACAAUGGGCGCAAGCCUGAUCCAGCCAUUCCGCGUGCAGGACGAAGGCCUUCGGGUUGUAAACUGCUUUUGUACGGAACGAAAAGGCUCUGGUUAAUACCUGGGGCUCAUGACGGUACCGUAAGAAUAAGCACCGGCUAACUACGUGCCAGCCGCCGCGGUAA